AUUGAACGCUGGCGGCAGGCCUAACACAUGCAAGUCGAGCGAGCGGCGGACGGGUGAGUAAUGUCUGGGAAACUGCCUGAUGGAGGGGGAUAACUACUGGAAACGGUAGCUAAUACCGCAUACCAUCAGAUGUGCCCAGAUGGGAUUAGCUAGUAGGUGGGGUAAUGGCUCACCUAGGCGACGAUCCCUAGCUGGUCUGAGAGGAUGACCAGCCAAACGGGAACUGAGACAAGGGCCAGACUCCUACGGGAGGCAGCAGGGGGGAAUAUUGCACAAUGGGAGCAAGCCUGAUGCAGCCAUGCCGCGUGUAGGAAGAAGGCCUUAGGGUUGUAAAGAACUUUCAGCGAGGAGGCGUUACUCGCAGAAGAAGCACCGGCUAACUCCGUGCCAGCAGCCGCGGUAAUAC
rnacentral:rRNA from 1 species